rnacentral:rRNA from 1 species
GAUGAACGCUGGCGGCGUGCCUAAUACAUGCAAGUCGAGCGAACGGACGAGAAGCUUGCUUUUCUGAUGUUAGCGGCGGACGGGUGAGUAACACGUGGAUAACCUACCUAUAAGACUGGGAUAACUUCGGGAAACCGGAGCUAAUACCGGAUAAUAUUUUGAACCGCAUGGUUCAAAAGUGAAAGACGGUCUUGCUGUCACUUAUAGAUGGAUCCGCGCUGCAUUAGCUAGUUGGUAAGGUAACGGCUUACCAAGGCAACGAUGUAUAGCCGACCUGAGAGGGUGAUCGGCCACACUGGAACUGAGACACGGUCCAGACUCCUACGGGAGGCAGCAGUAGGGAAUCUUCCGCAAUGGGCGAAAGCCUGACGGAGCAACGCCGCGUGAGUGACGAAGGUCUUCGGAUCGUAAAACUCUGUUAUUAGGGAAGAACAUAUGUGUAAGUAACUGUGCACAUCUUGACGGUACCUAAUCAGAAAGCCACGGCUAACUACGUG